AUAUUUCGGGACUGAGUCUUGUUUCUUCGAUAUAAAUGUAAUCUAGUAAUCAUUGCAUUGAUAUCGCAGAAACUAGACUCAGUUCCGAAAUAU